GAUGAACGCUGGCGGCGUGCUUAACACAUGCAAGUCGAACGGAAAGGCCACAGCUUGCUGUGGUACUCGAGUGGCGAACGGGUGAGUAACACGUGAGUGAUCUGCCCUGUACUUCGGGAUAAGCUUGGGGAGCUGGGUCUACUACCGGAUAGGAGUCACACGUGGGUGUGUGGUUGGAAAGAUUUUGCGGUAUGGGAUGGGCUCGCGGCCUAUCAGCUUGUUGGUGGGGUACUGGCCUACCAAGGCGUGGACGGGGAGCCGCCCUGAGAGGGGGUACGGCGACAUUGGGGCUGAGAGACGCGGCAGACACCUACGGGAGGGAGAGGUGGGGAAUAUUGUAGACUGGGGGGAAGACUGAGGUAGAGACGUUGUGUGUGGAAGGUGGGCCUUUGGGUUGUAAACAGCUUUUGCCAGAGACGAAGAGAAAGUGACGGUACCUGGAUAAGAAGCAACGGCUAAAUACGUG
rnacentral:rRNA from 1 species